GACAGAGGGUGCAAACGUUGUUCGGAAUUACUGGGCGUAAAGCGCGUGUAGGCGGCUCGAUAAGUCGGAUGUGAAAGCCCUGGGCUCAACCUAGGAAGUGCAUUCGAAACUGCUGAGCUUGAGUUCUGGAGAGGAAGGCGGAAUUCUCGGUGUAGAGGUGAAAUUCGUAGAUAUCGAGAGGAACACCGGUGGCGAAGGCGGCCUUCUGGACAGCAACUGACGCUGAGACGCGAAAGCGUGGGGAGCAAACAGG
rnacentral:rRNA from 1 species